CUACGGGUGGCUCCAGUGGGGAAUAUUGGACAAUGGGGGAAACCCUGAUCCAGCAAUGCCGCGUGUGUGAAGAAGGCCUGCGGGUUGUAAAGCACUUUCGGUUGGGAGGACUGCUUCUAGCACUAAUAUUGUUGGAAGUUGACGUUACCUUCAGAAGAAGCACCGGCUAACUCCGUCCCAGCAGCCGCGGUAAUACGGAGGGUGCAAGCAUUAAUCGGAAUUACUGGGCGUAAAGCGCGCGUAGGCGGCUAGAUCAGUCGGGUGUGAAAGCCCCGGGCUUAACCUGGGAACUGCAUCCGAUACUGUCUAGCUUGAGUACAGGAGAGGAGAGUGGAAUUCCACAUGUAGCGGUGAAAUGCGUAGAUAUGUGGAGGAACACCAAUGGCGAAGGCAGCUCUCUGGCCUGAUACUGACGCUGAGGUGCGAAAGCGUGGGGAGCAAACAGGAUUAGAUACCCCUGUAGUC
rnacentral:rRNA from 1 species